UCAUUGUGGAUCAUUUCGAUGAAAUUGUUCAAUAUUAACUUUUUUUAUUGUUAUUUAUUUGUCAUUUUGUAACUUUCCUCUUACUCCAGUAUUAUUAUUACCUGUUUUAUGAAUCGUAGCUAAAACAAAAGCAGCUGGAAUCCUGUUUCUUUAAUUACUGCAGUAACGUACCCACCUGUUGGUCUCAUCACCUGGAUCAGGUGUGCUCAGGUAAUCAGAACACCUGAGUCAGCAAAUAAGCAGCAAAAGGGAGGAAAAUGAGUUCUGGAGAACAGAAAUGUGUCUCAAACCUCGUUUUCCUGUAAUGCUCACAUUUGCACCGAGUCUCUAAACGUGAAGCGGUUCCGUCAGCUUCACCUCCUCUGAGGAUCAGACGAGCGCUGGAGGCCUUUCUGCCCGCCUGCCAGCAUGUGAUCCUCACACAGCCCACUCUGCAUGACAUUCAUGUGGAAUGAAACACUGUGGAUUGAUAGCGCAUCUUAACAAGCCCCACUCUGAGUAAUAAACACGAUUAGCACCGAGAAACUCUGUCACGUCCUAAUCCUCUCUGAGCUGGUUAUGGACGCCCUGAAGCCUUCGCCGUUCUGAGAGCGGAUGGGAGAAGCGAGUGACUGCAGACGUUAAGCGGCGUGUAAAUGUUCUGAGGUGGCCGCGUGACGGGACGCUGAGUAAUGUCCCACGACAUCCCAACAUGAUCGGCCCUUUUGGGGCCCCCCUCCACCUGCAGGAGGUAGACAGCCUUGACUGCUGUGUUGCUCUUUCUAACUUAAGGGGCAAACCGGGGCAAGAUCUGAAACGUUCACGUUCUUUCAGAAUUUUUCAGAUGAUUUAGGACAAAUUUAGGCAAAAAAAUCACAUUUCUUUACUCAAAUUAACCAGGAUCAGACCAAAAAAGCAAUUUGAAAAAGAUACUAUUAGUGAUGUAGAAACUACGAUGGGCGGGGCCUCAAACUCCUGCUCUGCCCCUUCUAAUGCAUCCAUUCCAAAGACUUCCAGAGAGACUGAAGUCCAUCAGUCCUAGAAUGAAACCUGCAGAAACGUAUAGAUCUACAAGGAAUAGAAGCUGAAAUGUCCUGAUUGAUGUCAAAACCUUGAAUCUCAUCUGCUGAUUCAGUUUAAUGUUUAUUUGUUAAAACUUCCAUUAAAAAAAGAAAUUCUAAUAUAAAAAAAUAAAAAAGAUUCAACAUUUU